AACAAAAUUAGGACAACAACAAUUAUAUAUUAUUAUAUUAUUAAGUUACAAAUGUUAUAUAAAGACUAUUUUGGUAUAAAGCACCGUUUGUGAAUAGUAUAUUAUAUAGUUACAUGAAAUUACGAUUAAAUAGAAUUAAAAAAAAAAAAAAAAAUAUAAUAAUAAAAAAUCCAUAUGAUACCCCAAUGAAAGUACAAUAUUGUUAUUAUGAUUUUCUCGUAUUAAACGACAUCGGACGGACGAACGGAUCGAUCGACAACAUUGUUCGGAUAAGCCGAAACGACAAAAACAUCGUCCCCGUCGUUCGAUGAUGGAAUUAGAAAAACAAAAAAAAAAAAAAAAAAAUUAGUAAAUAAAUACGAGACCAUCACGAUAAAAAUAUUCGUGUCGUAAUAAACUUUAAUGUUUAGCGCCCCGCGUGUCGCGCGCUCGCGCAGCCACUCGUACGUGCGUGUAUAAUAUAUUAAAGCAUUUACACAAAUUAACAACAAAACAUUGUAAUACAAUAUUAAUAAACAAUAAUAAAUAUUCAACAUCAUUAUUAUGUUACUCUCGUUUACGUGUACGCCCGUACGCUAAACGGAUUUUUUUUUUGUUUUUUUUUUUUUAUUUUGUUUGCUCGCGUAAUAAUCGCGCGUUAAACGUUGAAAAAAAAAAAAAAAAAAAAAAUGUACAACCAAACACUAGGCAUACACUAUACUAUUAUUGUAUAAUAAUAUUAGUCGUAAUAUUAAUAAAAUAUAAUAAAAUAUAAUAAUAAUAAUAAUAAUAAUAAUAAUAAUAAUGAUAAUAUUACGCUACGAAACUAAAGAAUACAAGAAAACAAAACGACUUGUGAAGUUUAUAACGGCCGUGGCCCGGCUCUACGGUAAUGAGUAAAUAUUAUAGGUUUCGGAUAAGACCCCACGGAUUCCGACGGACGGCAAACGGAUAAACCGUUACACGAUAUAAGAGCCGAGACGGACGGUUCCCAAACGGAUUGUCCGGCAGAUCGAGUUAGCGGGCGACCGCCCGAAUUACGAUGAUAUCGGUUCGUUGCGGAGCGUCGGAACAAA